GUGUGAGCGGGCAGGGAAAAGGGGAGGAGGGGAAAGGGGAAGAGGGGGAGGCAACUGAACUACGUUUCCCAGAAAGCCUUGCCUCAUCCUGGCCCCUUUUUCCUCUAGGAUUUUGGGCGGGUUGAUAUGGAAACGAAGAGGGCGAGGCCUGUGGAAGUCGGGGUUCUUUGCAUGCGCUCUACGACGUCACUUCCUUUUCUUGCUCUGUGACCUUGUUCUGCUUCGGAGGUGUGUGCGGAAGGGGUCAGAGCUCUGCCUUUGGAAGCUUCUGUUCGCCCCCAACAGGUGUGAGCUCAGCCAGACUCUAUGGCCCUCCUGGUCCUCAAGGCUAAGACCCACCAGCUGAGGGUCUUCUGAAGAGACAUGCCUGUCCUGGCUGAAGAGAUAAAAUGGGAGAAGACUCAGGAAAAAAAUGAGGAGAAGCUUCAUUCCUAAGAGAAUGGAUAUUAAAUCUCCUACCUCUCUACCCCACCCCUCACCCCCUGGAUUGUGGCAAGAAUAAAAUAAGAUAACAUCUGUAAGGGCUUUGUAAA
rnacentral:lncRNA from 1 species